CCGGUGUGAAUUGCAGAAUCCCGUGAACCAUCGAGUCUUUGAACGCAAGUUGCGCCCGAAGCCACUAGGCUGAGGGCACGUCUGCCUGGGUGUCA
rnacentral:rRNA from 1 species